rnacentral:piRNA from 1 species
ACUUCCCUGUCAGAAUAUGUGUC